UCCCUCACCCUGUGUCCCUGGUCUCCUCCUCCCCCUCCUCCCUGGCGUCCUCCCCUGUCUGUCAGUGCUCCCUCCUCGGAUCCCAGCUCCAAGCAGAGGCAGCACGACCCCGGACCCUCAGACGACACCACCGAGGCCCGCGGUAGUGCUGCUCCCUAAAAUUAGUCCAAGUACCCCCAAAGUGUGGCUGCCUUGCAUACUGCGGCCUUACCAAUGGAAGCACCUUGCAAUCUAAAUGAUCAGAUUGCUAAGGAUCGGUCCGUGUUCCACGCUCGUUGCCGUCGUGUGUCGCAAAGUCGGGUCCCCACGCCGCUUGCGUGUGCUACGAAGAUGGAUACUGAAUUCAGCCCAGUUGGUCUGUGACUGCUGCUGGAGGUCAUCACCGUGCCUGUCACAUCUGUUACUGCUGUCAUGAAACCACGUCCUCAGGGCCAGCGGAGGUGCUUUCCGCUGUUGGCUACAUAACGGCUGAGCCCGCAGCGGUUGUGAGUUCUACAGAGUCGCUACUGCGCACACAUGGCUGUUCAAAUGAAAAUAAAUGACAUUAAAAAUUCA